CGUUGGUAUAUAUAACAUAUAUAUAUAUAUAUAUAUAUAUAUUUCCUGGUAUGUUGUACACUUCGUGUCCGUACACUUGCGCGGCCUGUCAAUCGCCGACGCUGACAUUAAUAACGUAACUGACUAAUCGUCAUGCGCGACUGGAAAUAACUCGUAAUAGGAAACUAGCGGCGUGCGAGACUCCGCGACAGAUCGCAAUUUGUACUCGUCCGGAAAACAAGUCUCGACGAUCACGCCAUGUUGGUGCGGGCAUACCGAUUCGGCUCCCGUGAAUAAUCCACCAACACCGGUUCACGCUGCAGUCGUCAUCGCCGUAUUAACGAGCCGCGACGGAUCGCCAAAAUGUAUAAACAAAAUGCAGGACGGGCGGGCGCGUUCGCGCAUGGGCGAUCCCAUCGCCAGUACGAAUUAUCCCGAAAUGCAAAGAGCGUAUGAAAUUCGUUGAGCCGUUUAAAUCACAUUAUGCGCACCGUCCUCUCCGCAUCGCUCGCACCGGCUAUCUGCAUCCCAAUCCCCUCCUCCUCUCACCCUCUCACUCUCUCUUCCAAUGAAUUUUGCCACCUUCGAGGAUUUAUAUGUCCCGACAGGCAGGGACAGAAACGCAUGGAAUAAUGGAACGUAGCUUCGUCGGUGUAAUGACGCGACGGUCCGCGUCGAACCAGGCGGUUUCGACAGAGGGAACACGGGGGAGCUGGACAAAGACAGAGAGAGAGAUGGAGUGAGAGAGAGAGAGAGAGAGAGGGGGUCGGCAUGUGGGGGGCGGUAAUUAAAUUAAUGAUGCAAUAAUCACGCGCCUCGCGACCGAAUAAAUAACGUCUAUAUUAAUAUCACAUCCGAAACGGGAUACGCGGUGCAUAGGAACGAUCAUGCGCGUCGAAUUGCAUUUUCGCCGGCGAGAUCGCGCCGUACCCCUGUAAACGACAAAUAACAAUUACCACCCGCGGGCCACGGGCGACGACUCGUGAUAACUGUGUUUGGCCGUGGUAAACAUGUAAACCGGAAGGUUUAUAGUGCUUUUUUAAAUCCCGUUUUGCUCGAUAGAGACGAGGAAUUCGCUGUUUCGAGAUAAGCGAGACGUGCUCCCCCGCACGAACCGUCGAUCUUGUCGAGGGUGGCUUCAUUUUAAACCGAAUCUUUAAUUCUCAAUUACUUUUUAAUUAGCUGCUUUAACGGCUUGUUAAAUUUUCGCGAACAUUUCGCAAAAAAAAACGUGUAUUUAUUACUGCUGCGGAUGCUACGCAUGGAAAUGUGUUUCCUCUGUUCUUUCAUUAUUCCGGUUACGUGGGGAGGGCAGGGAAACGGGAAAGGAACAUAAAAUGUUGCAAAACGUUUUAUAGUGAUUAUUUCAUUUGCUAAUGCAUUACGUUGUAUAUAUUUAUUCAUACGUAUUUCUUCGUUUCUCAUCGGGGAACGCGUGCAACAGUUCCUUUCCCUCCCCCCUUUGCCCCCCCUCCCGUUACCCUUUUUUCCCUUUUACAACGGGAAUGUGAAAUAAACGUUCCGCGAAAAACAUUUGUUAUUCCGAUGGAUUUUUCGGGAUCUUGCGUUACACACGAAAACUAUGUUUACGAAUCACAUAAACAGCUGGCGCGGUACCGGGCGGCAUUCAUUUUGCUCACUUUGUGCUUUUUUCCGCGUGCCGGUGUUUUAUCUUGAUUUUCUAAUCCAUCUUCCGCACAUUCAGGCGACCCCGGGAGCGAUAUAAAGGGCGCUUAUUUUCCGGAUUGUUACAAGUGCACCUUCAUCAUUCUUUACGUCGACUGUUGGCGGAAUAAUAAGCUUUUGCCUCGGUUCACCCGACGUGAGAUUUUUCCCUGCCUCCCUCACCCUUUCCUUCUUUUCGUCGUCGAUUUGCUUUGAACGUAAUUUAUAUUUUUAACUGAGAUGUUAUACGACAGCUUUGCAAUUAUUUCAAUUACACUGUGUCACGCGGCGCUAUUCAUAUUCGAGAUUUUAUUCAACGGGAGCUUUAUCGCGACAGCGUUACCCGCUCAGCUCCGAUGAUAAUGACAAAAUCCAUUUUCUUUCCUUUCCAGUCGACUCGACCCUUUUACCGCCCUCCAACUUCUGCUCCAAGCAUUGCGCCAUUAUAAUUAUUCCGUGAGCUUCUUUUUCCCGACCGGGCAUUGACGGAAUAAUUAAUAAGCAUCACACUAAUUACUCAGCGACGGUAUUAUUAAUAUUUUCCCCCAACCUCCUUGUGGUAAUACACCCACGGUCACCGACGUAACGAUUAAUCAUUCGCACACAUUCGUAUACCGUUUGUUUCUGCGUCCUCUUGGGCGACACUCGUCGUUUUAUUCAGAGAAGAACCUACGCAUUCUUACACAAUGCGAGCGUCUCUAAUUAGAAAUGCAGUAAUCGUAAUACCGAGGGAACGACGAGACUUUUCCACGUUCAUUAUAUCUCCACGCAUUUUUUCCUCUCUUCACGACGCGGCGCGUAAGUAUUCUUACUUACGGAGUAAGCGAGAAUUUUCUCGCGGGGCGAGAAAAUUCGGGCCGCGGCAAGAGAGUCGAUCGAUAUCACGAGCGAAGCGCGGUCAUCCAUGCGGCGACCGGAUAACCGGUAGAGUCACUGAAAAAUUCCAUCUUCCCGUCCGGAUAUCCCGGGAGUCCUAUCGGGAAUAAUCACCGAAAGGGAAGCAAAGAAAAUUAGUUUCGAUCGCUCGAUCCCGAGUUCGGUAUCGUCCGUUCCCGACCGACGAAUUUCCGGGACGGGAUUUACGCGACGGGUUUUAUCAACCGCAUACUAAAAUAUUCAAUUAUGUACUUCUCCUUUCUCUCCCCUUUUUUUUCGCCGUCUCCCUUACGGCCACAGGCUCCAUGAACCGGGUUCGCCGGUCGAAUGUAAAUGUCGAAAGUCGCGACGAAUAUCGCGCUGCACGUCGAGAGACUUACUAUUAAUCCUUUGUUUUCCCCAGCGGGGGGAAAACACUCCCGAGUUCUCGAGUUUACGCAUUAUUGCCGUUGCAACGGGCGACAGCGAGAAGUAUUAAUUGUAUAGAAAAUUAGUCCACCCGAGCUGAGAGGCUCGUUCGUUUGUAACUCUCGGUGUAACGUCAAGUAACAUAUACUAAAAAGUCUGAUAGAAACUUUAUGUAUGUAAUAUUUUUUUUAAUGCCGAAAAGCGGUCGACAUUAAAAAAAACCUGUUGGUUACAAUCUGUUGAAAACCUGUCAAAACUUUCGUAUUCAUUAAAAAAAAAUAUAUAUAUAUAUAUAUAUAUAUAGUAAACGUAUAACAUAUAUGUGUAGAAAUUAUAUGCCGAGAAUGCAGUCGCUUUGAUACAUGCCAUCCGAGUCGAAAUUUUGACCCUACAUUAAACCUUUAAUUCUUUUUAUUUUUUUAAUAGCAAAAAUUAAAUUAAUAAUGAUACUAUAUAUUAAAGUUUAAUGUAGUUUAAUGUUGCAAUCUUUAUGAUAUAUUUUUAAAAUAGCAAACAAAAAGUAGGGCAAUGCAUUAUAUUUCGUUUAAUAAAAUAUUUAAAAAAAGUUAAAUUUGGUCAAGUAAUAUCCGCAAGGUUUACUGUGCAUAUAGAGACUUUUUAGCUUUAAAAUUAUUAAUAUUAAUUACUUAAUUUAACAUCUCUUUAAUAUUAGAACUCUUAAUUAGAAUGAUGUGUUAUAUAAGAAAAAAGGGGAAAGCAUUAUUUAUACAAAAGAAAGAAAGAGAGAUAAAAUACACAUGCAUAUAUAUGUACAUACAUGCUUAUAUGUAUAUACGUACAUACAUAUAUAUAGUCUUAUGGAUAUUAAAGUAGUAUCAAAAUUUCGACUCGGACAAAUUCACGCGUGAAAUUCACGCGUGAAACAUCAGAUGUUUUUCAUUUUCCCGAUGAAUUAUGUAUCCCCCAACAAGUAUUUCAUUAAUAUAAUCAUUAUUGGCGCGGAUAUCGUGUGCCGAUUGAACCAUUGCGUGAUAGCGCGCGAUUAUAUCCGUUUAUAUUGUAUUAUUGUGUUAUAUUAUCAAAGUACUAUUUGCUAGAUAUAUAGGCCAGCAGUAAUGUAUAAGUACUACGAAUAAUCAUCGCGUACAUUUGCCUGAGUUAUUAAUGCUCCUUCAUUUAUGGAUUAUGCAUUUCGUUUCACUUCCUGUUUUUAGAAUUAAUUUUUUCCCA